rnacentral:rRNA from 1 species
CAAGUCGAGCGGACCGACGGGAGCUUGCUCCCUUAGGUCAGCGGCGGACGGGUGAGUAACACGUGGGUAACCUGCCUGUAAGACUGGGAUAACUCCGGGAAACCGGGGCUAAUACCGGAUGCUUGAUUGAACCGCAUGGUUCAAUCAUAAAAGGUGGCUUUCAGCUACCACUURCAGAUGGACCCGCGGCGCAUUAGCUAGUUGGUGAGGUAACGGCUCACCAAGGCGACGAUGCGUAGCCGACCUGAGAGGGUGAUCGGCCACACUGGGACUGAGACACGGCCCAGACUCCUACGGGAGGCAGCAGUAGGGAAUCUUCCGCAAUGGACGAAAGUCUGACGGAGCAACGCCGCGUGAGUGAUGAAGGUUUUCGGAUCGUAAAACUCUGUUGUUAGGGAAGAAC